GACGGGGGGGGCAAGUGUUCUUCGGAAUUACUGGGCGUAAAGGGUGCGUAGGCGGUUCGUUAAGUCUGUCGUGAAAUCCCCGGGCUCAACCUGGGAAUGGCGAUGGAUACUGGCGAGCUAGAGUGUGUCAGAGGAUGGUGGAAUUCCCGGUGUAGCGGUGAAAUGCGUAGAGAUCGGGAGGAACAUCAGUGGCGAAGGCGGCCAUCUGGGACAACACUGACGCUGAAGCACGAAAGCGUGGGGAGCAAACAGG
rnacentral:rRNA from 1 species